rnacentral:tRNA from 1 species
GCGGGUGUAGUUUAGUGGUAGAACGACAGGUUCCCAUCCUGUCAGCGAGGGUUCGAUUCCCUUCACCCGCU